GGGUAAUUACCUUGGCAACUCUAGAUUGGUGCCUGAGCCAAAGUAGAAGUAGAAGUGGACUCACAGGUCUUCAUCCUGGGGGAGAAAGCAAGGUAGAUGGUGGUGCAAUGGAGGAACUAAAUUUGGAGUUGUUACAAUAACAAAAGGAAGCUGAUCCAGGAGGAACAAGAUGCAUCUCAGAAUGUCUUCUCCAUCUGAGGGGAAAAUGGAACAGGUGCCCCGAGUCGGGGCGUGAGGCCCAUCUCCUGCUCUGCUCCACUGGCUCUGUUCAGAGGUAUUGCAAAGUUGCACUGCUUCACCUCUGAGGAAUUCAGCCUUGGAAAAAUAGCCAGAAUGCUAAUUAUCGCCAAUUUCUGAGGAGGAUUGUCUGUAAAAUAACCCAAGAAGACUUUGCCUUCAUUAACACAUUGUUUCCUCAAGUUUCCAGAGCUCCAUAGCAUGCAGAGGAAUGUGUUUAGGGGCAGAUCCGUUUCCUCACUGGUACAUGUCUACAGUGAUAAAGCGCCCAACGUGGAGCCCACGAGGAUUCGGGACACGAUGGAAAUCCUGCAGAUGGCAAGGAAGUCAAGAUGGUACCCAAGAGGAUCUAGGCUGGAAUUCUGCAUCCAUAAGACCCACCAGUUUGGGGCCUGUGUGUGUUUCCCUUGUCUCUAAGUCAGACUUUUCUCCUCUACAAGGGAGGGAUACUGAGUCUCUGAGCACCUCUGCACACUUGUGCAAGGGCAGCAGUGGCAUGUGCUGGGCAGCCCUUCCUGUAAGAGGGACUCUGUCUGCGGUCAGCAUCCAGCCUCUGCACCUUUAGGACCUGCUUCCCAAACUGUUCCCAAUGAAACUGAGCAGGAUGGGGAAGCCAGAGCUAACAUGUUUCUUGUCCCACGCAGACUGGGUGCUCUGGGUCUGUUGAUGGCCCCAGUGAGCCUUUCCCGGAGCCACAUGGUGGUGUCUUUCUAGCCAGUGUCCUUUCCUUCCCUGUCUCCUUCCACAGACGUCAGCCUGUACUGCAGUUCGAAAGCCCCACACACUUGCGGGGGGUCCCUCUGCCAUCAUCCCUCACAGACACUCCCCCUAGAAACCCUGCACAUUCCUUCUUAGUGUCUUCUUCCUAGAGACCAGGCCAGCCACACCUGCAUGUGGAAGAGUGCAUAUUUCAUCGGCAUACAAAUCAUGAAACUUCAUCAGGAGAACGCACCCAGGUCAGCAGCAUACAGAUUAAGCGAAAGGCCUUAUAGUGCCAGGCAAGUCCCCUUGCAUCUCUGGACAGUUUCUACCCCCACCCAAGAUUAACUGUCAUCCUGACAGUUAUUUGCAUAAUCGUGAUACUAAAGCCUGAGAAAGAAAUUACAAGAAAGAAAAAAAGCAACUAGAAGCCAGUCUCAUGAAAAUAGAUGCAGACUCCUUAACAAAUAUUAGCAGAUUGAAUCCAGCCAUGUAGCCCUUUUUUUUUUUUUAUAGCCAAUAAUACAUCUGGAAGCUUGGCAUCUCU